rnacentral:rRNA from 1 species
AUAACGGUCCUAAGGUAGCGAAAUUCCUUGUCGGGUAAGUUCCGACCCGCACGAAUGGCGUAACGAUGGCCACACUGUCUCCUCCCGAGACUCAGCGAAGUUGAAGUGGUUGUGAAGAUGCAAUCUACCCGCUGCUAGACGGAAAGACCCCGUGAACCUUUACUGUAGCUUUGCAUUGGACUUUGAAGUCACUUGUGUAGGAUAGGUGGGAGGCUUAGAAGCAGAGACGCCAGUCUCUGUGGAGCCGUCCUUGAAAUACCACCCUGGUGUCUUUGAGGUUCUAACCCAGACCCGUAAUCCGGGUCGGGGACCGUGCAUGGUAGGCAGUUUGACUGGGGCGGUCUCCUCCCAAAGAGUAACGGAGGAGUUCGAAGGUUACCUAGGUCCGGUCGGAAAUCGGACUGAUAGUGCAAUGGCAAAAGGUAGCUUAACUGCGAGACCGACAAGUCGAGCAGGUGCGAAAGCAGGACAUAGUGAUCCGGUGGUUCUGUAUGGAAGGGCCAUCGCUCAACGGAUAAAAGGUACUCCGGGGAUAACAGGCUGAUACCGCCCAAGAGUUCAUAUCGACGGCGGUGUUUGGCACCUCGAUGUCGGCUCAUCACAUCCUGGGGCUGUAGUCGGUCCCAAGGGUAUGGCUGUUCGCCAUUUAAAGUGGUACGUGAGCUGGGUUUAAAACGUCGUGAGACAGUUUGGUCCCUAUCUGCAGUGGGCGUUGGAAGUUUGACGGGGGCUGCUCCUAGUACGAGAGGACCGGAGUGGACGAACCUCUGGUGUACCGGUUGUAACGCCAGUUGCAUAGCCGGGUAGCUAAGUUCGGAAGAGAUAAGCGCUGAAAGCAUCUAAGCGCGAAACUCGCCUGAAGAUGAGACUUCCCUUGCGGUUUGACCGCACUAAAGAGUCGUUCGAGACCAGGACGUUGAUAGGUGGGGUGUGGAAGCGCGGUAACGCGUGAAGCUGACCCAUACUAAUUGCUCGUGAGGCUUGACUCU